ensembl:misc_RNA 7SK 7SK RNA
GGAUGUGAGGGCGAUCUGGCUGCGACAUCUGUCACCCCAUUGAUCGCCAGGGUUGAUUCGGCUGAUCUGGCUGGCUAGGCGGGUGUCCCCUUCCUCCCUCACCGCUCCAUGUGCGUCCCUCCCGAAGCUGCGCGCUCGGUCGAAGAGGACGACCAUCCCCGAUAGAGGAGGACCGGUCUUCGGUCAAGGGUAUACGAGUAGCUGCGCUCCCCUGCUAGAACCUCCAAACAAGCUCUCAAUGUAGAUACAUACAUACGUACAUAUGUAUCUUUAGAGUUACAUUAUAAUAAAUGUAAAGAUACAUGUUAUCUUUGCAUAAUAUAUAAAGUAUAUAUAUAAAUAU